UACGGAGGGUGCAAGCGUUGUCCGGAUUUAUUGGGUUUAAAGGGUGCGUAGGCGGCCCGUUAAGUCAGCGGUGAAAUCCCGGGGCUCAACCCCGGAACUGCCGUUGAUACUGGCGGGCUUGAGUUCGGUCGAGGCGGGCGGAACUGGUGGUGUAGCGGUGAAAUGCUUAGAUACCACCAAGAACCCCGAUUGCGUAGGCAGCUGACUAGGCUGGUACUGACGCUGAGGCACGAAAGCGUGGGGAGCGAACAGG
rnacentral:rRNA from 1 species